UCCGGCUUACCGCCGGCAGUCUCCGUAGAGUCCCCGCCAUGACGCGCUGGCAACUACGGAUAAGGGUUGCGCUCGUUGCGGGACUUAACCCAACCUCUCACGACACGAGCUGACGACAGCCAUGCAGCACCUGUGCAAGCUCCCCUUGGAUGUCAAGACCAGGUAAGGUUCUGCGCGUUGCGUCGAAUUAAACCACAUGCUCCACCGCUUGUGCGGGCCCCCGUCAAUUCCUUUGAGUUUCAGCCUUGCGGCCGUACUCCCCAGGCGGGGCACUUAAUGCGUUAGCGCCGGCACCCAGGGGGUCGCUCCCCCAGGCACCUAGUGCCCAUCGUUUACGGCGUGGACUAC
rnacentral:misc_RNA from 1 species